CCUUCUGGAUCCUUCCCUUCUGUACUUAAAUUUGCUGUUUUCCUUUAUCCUAAAGCAAUCUUCAUUCAACCCCAUAUUCUCCUCCCCUUUGUUGCUAAGCACUUUGUGUAGGCUUCUCAUGGGGUGGACUUCUCUUACGCCCUUCUCUGUCUGUUUUCACUUUCUCUGCUCCACUAAAAUGAAUUGCCUCUUUUCCAAGUCAGAGGCCAUGUCUACACUACAACCUUUGGUCAAACCAAGUUAUGGUAGGAUACAGCUACUGAAGUUUGUGCAUACGUUCUUGGCUGCUUGCAUUGGUGAUGCACCCUGGACCUUCAUAGGUGCUGGAACUAGGGAUGCGGAGAGUGGCUUGAAGUGGCUUCCAUUAUAUACAGGGUUUACAGUUUGGUUCAAUGGCUCUCAGCACCCCCACUAUACAAAUUGUUCCAGCACCCUGCAGACCUUCAGGAAGCACUGCAACAACUGGGAUCACAAUGAGGAAGAUGAGGAUAUCUUUGAGGAGAGAUUGCUGAUGGACAUAGCAAAAAAAUAAUAAUCCCAGAUUGUUUGUGGCAUUCAUGGAGCAGCUGCAGACUGUGGAGUAUUUCUUCUGGGCCUAAGAAACAAGCACUGAUUGGUGGGAUUGCACAUAAUGCAGAUUUGGGACAAUGAGCAGUGGCUGCAGAACUUUUGGAUGCAAAAGGCCACAUUCCUGGAUCUGUGCCAUCCUCACCCCCGCCCUCCAGUGCAGGGACAGAACGAGAGCUCAUUGGCCGUGGAGAAGUGAGUGGUGAUCGUGUUCUGGAAGCUUAAAGCGCUGGAUUGCAACUGGUUAGUGGGAAAUCAUUUUGAAGUUAGAAAAUCCAUAGUGGGGGCCAUUGUCAUCCAAGUGUGUAAGGCCAUUGAAUGCUGUUCAAGACUGUGACUCCCAGCAAUAUGCAAGAAAUGGUGGAUGGAUUUGCAAAAAUGGGGUUCCGAACUGUGGUGGGGGAAUAGACAGAAUGCACAUCCCUAUCUUGGUGCCAGCCCACCUUGCUACAGAAUACAUCGACAGGCCUAUUUUUCUAUAGUUAUGCAAAUGCUAUUAGAUCCCUGGGGACGCUUCACUGAUAUCAACUAAGGUUGGUCCAGGAAGGUGCAUGGUGCUUGCAUCUUUAAGAUCACAGGAUUGUUCAGAAAGCUGCAAGCAGGGACAUUCUUUCCUUGGUGGCUGAUUAACAUUGACCAUUGAAGAACGUACAACUGGAGAAGAUAUCUUCAGUCUGACUAAUGCAUAUUUUCAAGAAAAGGAAAUAGAUUGGUCUCGUUGCUUAGGCAUUUGCACUGAUGGGGCCACAUCAAUGGCGGGGAAUUAUACUGGAUUUGCAGCUUGAACAAAAAAGGUUGCAUCAAAAGUCUCUUGGACUCAUUGCAGCAUCCAUAGACAAGCCCUCGCAACAAAACGCAUGCCUGCGGGACUGAAGGAAGUGCUGGACAAUGCAGUGGAAAUGGUGAAUUUCAUAAAAUCAUGGCCAAAAAAUUCCAGAAUAUUUCAUGUACUUUGUGAAGAAAUGGGUAGUAUACACAAUUGUCUGUUGACCCAUACUGAAGUUAGAUGGCUCUCAUGGGGCAAAAUCCUUGUGUGCUUGUUUGAGCUUAGAACCGAAAUCCUAGUUUGUUUUGUUUUGUUUUUUUUUCCAACAGCCACCCUUUUCACCUUGCCAGCUGUAUGGAAAAUAAUGUCUGGCUCCAGAGCAUAGCUUAUUUAGCAGAUAUUUUCUCAAGAAUUAAUGACCUAAAUUUAUAUCUUCAAGGCCUCAAUAUAACAGUUUUCAAUGUGCAAGAGCGAGUUGAAUCCAUGAUAAAGAAGUUGCAGUUCUGGGAAAGUUGUUUGGAAAACAAUCAAACUGAGUGUUUCACUAAUCUUCAUGACUUCCUGGCAGAACACAAACUUCAGCUGGAUCAGUGCACUAAAACCAAUACAAUUGCACACCUAAAAGGACUUUGCACAACUUUCAGGGAAUACUUUCCAGCUAUGUCAGGCGAUAAUGACUGGAUUCGCAACCCUUUUGAUGAUAACACUUUCUCAACACAGAUAUUGAACACUGAGGAAAAAGAGAAAUUGAUUGAGAUCUCCUGUGAUUACGAAUUGAAAAGGAGUUUCAGAAGUCUGUCAUUGAUCAACUUUUGGCUGAGUUUAAGAAACAAGUACCCCCUUCUGGCAGAAAAAGCUGCUGCAGUUUUGUUACCAUUUUCAACAACAUACUUAUGCGAGAAAGCGUUUUCCUCAUAUGCACAUCUGAAAACCAAAUACAGAAACAGACUGGACGCCGAACCAGACCUGAGACUUUAUCUUUCUCCAGUGGUUCCGGACUUCCAAGAGCUAUGCAGAGCAAAGAUGCGCAUCCAUCACACUGAGGAAAUUUAAACUUAAAUUCCUGGAAAUACUCAUUUUUAGGAGGGGAUUCAUGAGAUUUCACAAUUUAGUGAAAGGGGUUUGUGGGCUGUUAAAGUUUGGGAACCACUGUCCUAUGUCUACCCAAGUACAGGACACUGAAUCAAUGUGGAUCAUGUAAUUGGACUGCCAUAGGACUGUUCAGGAAUUUGUUUCGCAUUUACUUCCUAACUUUUUAGUUUCUCAAGUAAGUCAGUGAAAUGAAUGAAAAGUCGAUACUUUUGUCUUGUACACGUGGUGGUGGGCUGGGCGACAUCUUUAAAUGGGGGUGGGGGAAGAAAAAGCAAAUAAAACAUUGUAAAGAAAAUGCAUGCAUGCACACACUUACCUGAGCUACCUUCCUCUUCAUCGUCAGGCUCAUCUGCGCUAAAUUCCUAUGGAAUUUCAAACAGGUCCUGGCUUACGGCAUGGGUGAAAUCUCUCACCAUGUCCGUCCACUGUCCCCCGCCCGCCACUGCCCACCCUCAGUGUUCAUGGGAGCAGUCUCCUGCUGGUCCACUGAAGAAUCCAGCGAGGUCUGCCCAUCACUGGUAGGAUCUUGCCCAAGAAUGGUAUGCAAUUCAUUGUAAAAGCAUGAAGUCUGUGGGGCAGCACCAGAUUUCUUGUUACCCUCCCUGGCCUUGUGGUGUUCUUAGUGAAGUGCCUUUGCUUCCAGGCAGGACUGUUGCUGAUCCCUGUCAUACUCCUUUGCCUGCAUCCCCCAUCCAAUCUGCUCGUAGAUGUCCACAUUUCUAUGGCUGGUCCAUAGCUGUGGUUGCACAGCCUCUCCUCCCCAUAGGCACAGGUGAUUCAAUACUGCCUGCCUGCCUGCCUGCCCCAAUGUGGGCGUGGAUUAAUGGUCAGUUGGAUGCAGACAACAGAGGUGAGCUGCUAGGUGUGCUGAUGAAGCCUGGCAACCAGGAAAGGGCAUUUCAAAAACACUCAAGAUUUUUUCAAGGGGGGCUGGCAUGGGAUGGAUUUUCUGUCUCUGUGACCCCUGGGCAAUGGAGUUUAAAGUUGUGAGCAGAGUGGUCACUAUUAUGGGGACUGGGGCAUUGUGGGAUAGCUGCUGGAGGACUGACACAGGUCAUGCAGUGUCUACACUGACUGUGUGGACCUCAGUAGGUUGACUGUGGUUCUACGCUAUUUGGGAUGGUGGUGUUACUGUAACAGGACACUGAUGUUGGCCAGAGACAAAUUUGAGUGUAGCCAUAUACACAAAUAGGUCAACGUAUGUGGGACUUGUAUCAACCUACCUUUGUAACGUAGAUCAGGCCUGUAGGUCUCUUCAUUAUACUUAUUCACUCAUUCCAUCUGCUCUUUGACAUGGUUGAUCGCUCAAUUUUCCUUGAAACUCUGGCCUGGCCUACACUUAAAACUUAGGGUGACACAGCUACAGUCUUGAGUGCCAUAGCUUUACUGACCUAACCCCCAGUGUAGAUGCAGCUAGGUCAGUAGGGGCAGGCCUCCCAAGGGAGGCGUGGGAAUGUGUCAUGGGAGGAGCGAUCUGUGGUUUUUUGUUUUUUAAAGGUCUGGGUAGCUGGGGCUUGUGCAGAAGACUGUGCACACCCAGGAGGUGGGGAAGAAGCAGACAGUAGAGCCCUGCCACCCAGGUUUGUGCUCUCCUUCUUCCCCCCCACCCCCCGCCCAAUCCCUUACCUGGAGAUGGGGUUCUGGUUGUCUGCCCCGGGGUGGCGGCAGCAACAACGCAGAAGGGUGGUAAUGGGGUGCUAAGUCUGCUGUGAAAAGUGAUAUUGACGAAUAUCCCUUUUCACAUUGCCACCCUUACCUCUCCACCGCUGCUGGUGUGGCACUGCCUUCAGAGCUGGGUGCCCAGCCAGCAGCUGUUGCUCUCUGCUCUGCCUCCAGAGCUGGGUGGCAGAAUAUGUACUUGUGGGAGGGAGACGUGAAUGACUUCAGACACAAAGAAAGGGGGCCUGGUCAAAUAAGUUUGAGAACCACUCAAAUAGUCAGUGAAAGAAUGCUUCCGUCAACCUAGCUACCGUUGCUUGGGGAGGUGGAGUUUUAACAGCGAUGGAAAAAGUCUGUGUCUACACUACGAGGUUACAGUGGCAUAGCUCUGGCACCCAAGGUGUAUACGUGGCCCUUGUCUCCCACCCAGAAUUUCUGUGUGGUUCUCCUGUUUUGCUAGCUGGUCCUUCAGUGUCACUUUCAGUAGCUAGCCACAGAGCAGGGGAAGAAGACUAUUUGCCAGGGAUCUGUGCUUGUUUCCCUCUACACUUGCUCCCUGGAUGACUUCAUUCACGGCCAUGGUUUCUUCUCACCUGUUUUAGUGAGACUCCAGAUUUCUCUCUCCAGCCCAGAGUUCUCUUUAGUCCAAGCUCACCUAUCUUGUCUGUCUCCAACAUCUUUUCAAUGAAAGGUUACGGUGCUAUGGAAAAGUAUAGUAGUAAUAGGAAUCUUUUCAAAGGAUCUCCCUCCUGCUCCCUGGUGUGUCUGAAUUAACACUCCCUUUUUGGAAGAGUGUUUUAGGAUGUUAAUUGUCAUCUACCCCUCAGAUGUCUUUGUGAACCUUGUACUUAGCAAGGCCUGUUAGCAUAUUAAUAUCCUUCUUAUGCCUGGAAGUCUGUUUGUAUCACGGGCCUAAUUGUCAAACGUUAAUUAAACUCAAUUAAUCCAUAGUGGGUGGACAGAACUGCUAUCACUGCAGCGGGUUGUUACCCCAAGGGGAGUAAGGUAAUGCUUCAGAGAGGAAAAUAGUAAGGGGAAAGAUAGAAAAGAAAGCCCCGUUUCUCAGAAGAGCAGACUCGGCUCCCUUCCGUGUCUGUCACCAGUGGAUUUAGCUUACAAUAAGGGUGUCCCUCCCUCCCUGUGUGAUGUAAUAAAAAUGAAGGAAAGACAAGGUAAUAUUGUGCAAACAAAGAUAAGUAUAUUAAGGGUAAAGGUACAGAGAACUGGAAAAACGGAGGGAAGAAACUUAACCAUACAGUGAUUCAGUGACUGGCAUUAGAAGCUUGAAGCUCAGACCCACAAAACCUCCCUUGGUAUUCAGAAAAACAAUAAAUAAAACCCCAAUACAGAAACCUUUUCCUACGAGUGAGGCGCAGUGGACACAGCAUAUAGGGGUGAAGCCCAUGACCACCUACUCUCCGGCUCAUGUGGAGCCUUGAGGAGGACUACUGGGGAGCCGUGACAACUGCUGGAUUUCGUUGCAGGCAGGGAGUCCCUCUAGGAUGAUAGACACUAGAAAAGCAGGACCCUCCAGCGGUAAAAUGGAUUCAGUUUGCUGUGGUGGGGAUAGUGAGGACAGGCCUCUCCUUCCUCAACCUUGCUGCAGGAUAGAUGGUACUCUUCUCUCUAGCUCUGGAGCAUUAGGAAGACCCGACCACGCACGUGCUGCUGCUGGAAUGGACAGCACAGGGCAGGUGCUGAGCAAGUUCUUUAUAUAGCCUUUUUGGCAGGAAAAACUGGUUUAGACCAGUUUGAGCCAGGGAAAUCCAGUGUCUUUAACAGUAAACAAGUCUGCUUACAGAGAUGAAGUCCGAGAGUCACAGGUGAUACACUCCAUAUUGGAUUUCAUUAAAGCCAGUGAUUUACAUAACCUUUACCUUAUACCUUUAUCUUAUACAUACUAUUAAAACUGCUAAUUAAACACAUUUAAACAAUACCAACACAACAUUUCUUACUAACAGGGUAUAUGAGAGGUUGUGAGACUGAAACCCAGAGUCAUGAAACAGCAGGUUCCUGCCUCUUAGGCUGUCAGAGAUUAGAUUUGACACAGAGGUGAGGUGUUUAAACUCUGGCCUUGUCUAGAUUAGGAAAAUAGUUCAUGUUUAAAAACAUGUUAGUGUCCCCCUAGGGUACAUCAUGACCGGUUAACAUGAAUUUAAAAGGUGUUAAAUGGUAUCUCUACUAAGUGCUUAUCAUGUUAGCUAACUCCACUUUAAUACAACUUCUUUUAAUUAAUCAUGUUUAUUAUGGUGGUGCCUAAGGACCACCCAUGACUGGGACCCCAUUGUAGGUACUGGACAGACAAUAGCAGACCUUCCCAUCUAAACAGACAAGACAGACACAGGGUGGGGGUGGGGGAGGGGGAGGGGGAGGAACACAACCAGAGCAAACUAUGCAAUGGUGGCAAAUGGCAUGU